UUAUGGCAUAUGCGAUGAAUGUAUAUGGGAAGAAACUGCAUGA
rnacentral:sRNA from 1 species